rnacentral:tRNA from 1 species
AUUUAUAUAGUAUAAUAAGUAUAUAUGACUUCCAAUCAUACGGUUUGUAAAAAACAAUAUAAAUA